rnacentral:rRNA from 1 species
CCUACGGGAGGCAGCAGUAGGGAAUUUUCCGCAAUGGGCGAAAGCCUGACGGAGCAAUACCGCGUGAGGGAUGACGGCCUGUGGGUUGUAAACCUCUUUUCUCAAGGAAGAAGUUCUGACGGUACUUGAGGAAUAAGCAUCGGCUAACUCUGUGCCAGCAGCCGCGGUAAUACAGAGGAUGCAAGCGUUAUCCGGAAUCACUGGGCAUAAAGCGUCUGUAGGUUGUUUAGUAAGUCUGCUGUUAAAGACUGGGGCUUAACCCCAGAAAAGCAGUGGAAACUGCUAGACUCGAGUGUGGUAGAGGUAGAGGGAAUUCCUAGUGCAGCGGUGAAAUGCGUAGAUAUUAGGAAGAACACCAAUGGCGAAGGCACUCUACUGGGCCAUAACUGACACUGAGAGACGACAGCUAGGGGAGCAAACGGGAUUAGAUACCCCGGUAGUCCUAGCCGUAAACGAUGGAUACUAGAUGUUGCACGUAUUAACCCGUGCAGUAUCGUAGCUAAGGCGUUAAGUAUCCCGCCUGGGAAGUACGCUCGCAAGAGAGANACAAGAGAGAGCGNGNGAGNGCGACGACGACGACGAGGAGGAG